UUUGUAAUAUCUAUUAUCCUCAAAACAAUUAGGGUGCGUUUAGUUCGCGCUAUCUUUUUAAGAUUUUUAGUAAUCCAAUAAAAAUAAAAAAAUAUGACGGUAUUUGGCUAAAUGCACUAAAUAAUCUAAUUGGUAAUAUUGUAUUUACUUAGGAAUGAGAUUCAUCCCAAACUACUAAUCCCAUUCCUUUGAGAGAGGGUGGGUAUUCUCAUAUUAAUGGAUUGUGGUAAUCAUAAUAUGUCUAAUCUCUUUCUUUCUCUCCACCCGUCGGCUAAUUGGUAUUAUUUGUAUUUAAACUCUAACCUCAUAUCUCUCUCUAAAUUUAUCUUUUUCUCUUCAAACUUUAACUUUUUUCUCUCUCUCUAAACUAAGCUCUCUCUCCUCCACUUUUUUUAAAAUCUCAAUUCUCUCACUCCCUCUAACAUUGACUCUAUUUCUCUUUCUAUUUUCUUUAAUUAUGCCCUCUCUCUAACCUAUGUUCUCUUUCAUUUUUUUUGAAAAAAGAUGUUGAAAUUUUUUAUCACAUUAUCUAAAAUUAAUUAACAAAAUAAAUAAAUAAAUUGUAUAUUUCUCGUAAUCUUAAAUAACAUGACUAAAUAAUAUGACGGUGCGAACUAAACACCAGAAUGUCACAUUCUUAGUAAUAAGAUGAAUAGAAAUAAGAUUCUCUGGCAUCUUUUCAUUCAUAGUAAUAUUUUAUAGUGCAAACCAAACGCCCCCUUAUUAUAUUGCUUCGGCUAGGAAGCUGAAUGAAAAUGCAUAUUCUUUUUUGUUUUGAGAGUCAUAUGCUGCACCAAGUAAAGCCAGAAAGUAAUCCGCCAUUUAGAUUUGCAGGAAUCCUGGUUUUGUAAAGUUGAGUGGAGUUAAUUUUAGCCCUGUUUGGUUGCAUAGUUAUACAACUCUAUAAAGUUUUUAUUUUGUAAUUUUGGUCUGAAUAAAAUUCUAUAAUUAUAAAAAAUUUCACAGCAUUAUUUUUAAAUUGUUUGGAUACAAACUGUACAAUUUUAUAAGAUAUCUAGGAAUUAAAAUUUUAAAAUUUUAAAAUAAUUUUUUCACAUUUUUAAAUUAAAAAAUUUAAAAUUAUCAAAUUAAAUUUAAAAAUUUAAAAAUUUAAAUUUUGAAAUUGGAAAUUUAUUUUUUCUUUUAUAAUUUAAUUUAAAUAAAAUUAUACUAACAUU
rnacentral:lncRNA from 1 species